UACGUAGGGGGGCAAGCGUUGUCCGGAUUUAUUGGGCGUAAAGAGCGUGUAGGCGGCCCGGUAAGUCCGCUGUGAAAGUCCAGGGCUCAACCCUGGGAUGCCGGUGGAUACUGUCGGGCUCGAGUCCGGAAGAGGCGAGUGGAAUUCCUGGUGUAGCGGUGAAAUGCGCAGAUAUCAGGAAGAACACCAAUGGCGAAGGCAGCUCUCUGGGACGGUACUGACGCUGAGACGCGAAAGCGUGGGGAGCGAACAGG
rnacentral:rRNA from 1 species